rnacentral:rRNA from 1 species
UGCCUCAGUAACGGCGAGUGAAGCGGCAUCAGCUCAAAUUUGAAAUCUGGUCUCACGACCCGAGUUGUAAUUUGUAGAGAAUGCUUCGGGCGAGGUCCGGUCUAAGUUCCUUGGAACAGGACGUCAUAGAGGGUGAGAAUCCCGUAUGCGACCGGUCGCCUCCGCCCAUGUGAAGCUUCUUCGACGAGUCGAGUUGUUUGGGAAUGCAGCUCAAAAUGGGUGGUAAAUUUCAUCUAAAGCUAAAUACUGGCCAGAGACCGAUAGCGCACAAGUAGAGUGAUCGAAAGAUGAAAAGCACUUUGGAAAGAGAGUUAAACAGUACGUGAAAUUGUUGAAAGGGAAGCGCUUGCAACCAGACUUGCGCGCAGCCGAUCAUCCGGUGUUCUCACCGGUGCACUCGGUUGCGCUCAGGCCAGCAUCGGUUUCGGUGGUUGGAUAAAGGCCCGGGGAAUGUAGCUCCUCUCGGGGAGUGUUAUAGCCCUGGGUGCAAUGCAGCCUACCGGGACCGAGGACCGCGCUUCGGCUAGGAUGCUGGCGUAAUGGUUGUAAGCGACCCGUCUUGAAACACGGACCAAGGAGUCUAACAUCUAUGCGAGUGUUUGGGUGUCAAACCCAUACGCGUAAUGAAAGUGAACGGAGGUGAGAACCCUUAAGGGUGCAUCAUCGACCGAUCCUGAUGUCUUCGGAUGGAUUUGAGUAAGAGCAUAGCUGUUGGGACCCGAAAGAUGGUGAACUAUGCCUGAAUAGGGUGAAGCCAGAGGAAACUCUGGUGGAGGCUCGCAGCGGUUCUGACGUGCAAAUCGAUCGUCAAAUUUGGGUAUAGGGGCGAAAGACUAAUCGAACCAUUACACGGAUGUACCGCACCCCUCCGGGAGUGUCGUUACUAGGUGGUUGAGAGGCGGCUCAAAGUGCCGUCUAGUGGCAGUCGCACUGCAACACCGUCAAAUUGCGGGGACAUCCUACGAUGAAGUAUAGCUACCGCAGCCAGUCCGAAAGGGCUGGUGCGCACCAGGGUAAUGACCUCGGGGAUGGUAAGAACGCUAUAUGGAGGGACGAUCCGCAGCCAAGCCCUGUCGAAUGGGUGCAGUUCACAGACUAGAUGUCGGUGGGUGACCGCCUCCGCGGCGGUUGCUUAAGAUAUAGUCGAACCCUCGGGUAACCGAGCCGUUCGGAUGAAGCUACAGAGGUGCGAUUCCUGCGCCGCAGGCCUCUGUAUGCCCGAGCCGAACGGGGGCGC